GAAAUCGAUGCUCUGAACGCGCAGAUCAAGGAGAAAAAAAAAAAGUUUUCUUCCGUUUAGUUACUUUUUAGUUGUAAAAAAAACGCUUCGUUUUUUCAAGAAAGAAAAAAAAAAGUUCUUUCCUUCUCUUUCAC
rnacentral:ribozyme from 1 species